AGGAUGUUACUUAGUAACAAUUG
rnacentral:snRNA from 1 species